GACAGAGGGUGCAAACGUUGUUCGGAAUUACUGGGCGUAAAGCGCGUGUAGGCUGUUCGGCAAGUCGGAUGUGAAAGCCCCGGGCUCAACCCGGGAAGUGCACUCGAUACUGCGUAGCUAGAGUGUCGGAGAGGUUGGUGGAAUUCUCGGUGUAGAGGUGAAAUUCGUAGAUAUCGAGAGGAACACCGGUGGCGAAGGCGGCCAACUGGACGAACACUGACGCUGAGACACGAAAGCGUGGGGAGCAAACAGG
rnacentral:rRNA from 1 species